GGUGAUGUCGAAGUCCUGGUAGAAGUUACCAGCGGAGGCAACGGCGACCAAGGAGCAAGCCAGCAAAAAAAACCUCAUUGCCAUGGUAUGCAAUAGCAGAAACGUUAACAAGCUUCGUAGGAGGGGGAAGCAGAUGACGAUGAGACGCGGGGUCGGCGGACGCGGCCAUGGUGCUGCUGUCUCAAGUGGUGGAGCGGCGUCGGACGAAAGCCUCGUGAUCAUGGUCCACUAAAGCGGGCGGCUCCUCCGAUAUUUGAAUGCGACUGGCCAGGUGGCGUCAUCAGGUACGAUGCAAUCCCCACAAAGCUCAUUUUUCUUCUUUUAUAGCGUGCAUGGCAAGCACUACAACAAUGUGAAGUUACGUUUCACCACCGGUUUAUAUGUUGCCCUUGCACUUAGAGCAGUUGGGACCCAUGGUCCCGGCCGUCCGUUCAAUCACAAGGCCAGUAGCGUCGGCGGGUGCAGAGUAGAAGGGUUGGGUGAGAGGAGAGACAUCGGGGUGGCUGGAUUUUCCAGCUGUUGUUAGAGUGUCGUUUUUAGAGACCGACGUUGACCGUGACGCGUUGUGAUCAUGCCGUUGUCGGGCGAUAAGGAAGUGACGAGGGGGUUUCCAACUAAAGGAGUUGCCUCCAUGGAGAGGAAACUUUAGAACGUUGCCGUGCAUUCAUGAGCUUCGUUCUGCGAUCUCAAGCCGCAUCAAGGCAUGGCCGGAUGGUAUGUAUUAAGCUAUGACGCCGAGUGCGUUUAGGCUGUCAUGGGUGAGUUAUAUUUUGCUUGCCUUCCUAAUCAAUGCGGAAAAGAUCCUUCGGCCCGCUCUCCCUUGUAAUUUGGCAGGCUCUAAUUCCUUUUGGUAGUGCGGAUUAGAACAUGCAGAUUUUCAUCUCGAGUCACAUUUUGAUCA